rnacentral:rRNA from 1 species
AUUGAACGCUGGCGGCAGGCUUAACACAUGCAAGUCGAGCGGGGAAGAGUAGCUUGCUACUUAACCUAGCGGCGGACGGGUGAGUAAUGCUUAGGAAUCUGCCUAUUAGUGGGGGACAACAUCUCGAAAGGGAUGCUAAUACCGCAUACGUCCUACGGGAGAAAGCAGGGGACCUUCGGGCCUUGCGCUAAUAGAUGAGCCUAAGUCGGAUUAGCUAGUUGGUGGGGUAAAGGCCUACCAAGGCGACGAUCUGUAGCGGGUCUGAGAGGAUGAUCCGCCACACUGGGACUGAGACACGGCCCAGACUCCUACGGGAGGCAGCAGUGGGGAAUAUUGGACAAUGGGGGGAACCCUGAUCCAGCCAUGCCGCGUGUGUGAAGAAGGCCUUUUGGUUGUAAAGCACUUUAAGCGAGGAGGAGGCUACCGAGAUUAAUACUCUUGGAUAGUGGACGUUACUCGCAGAAUAAGCACCGGCUAACUCUGUGCCAGCCGCCGCGGUAA